rnacentral:tmRNA from 1 species
AUUCUGUUGUCUGUGCAGGUGAAGCGAAAUCUAUAGCAGGCAAGCUUUAAGUGAUCUUUGUCUGUUUGGCAGCUUAAAGUUUAAAAUGAAACAGACUAUGUAUGUAGAUGUUCUUUGGAUCUUAAUUCUGGACGCGGGUUCGACUCCCGCCACCUCCACUA